rnacentral:rRNA from 1 species
UAACGCGUGAGGAACCUGCCUCAAAGAGGGGGACAACAGUUGGAAACGACUGCUAAUACCGCAUAAGCCCACAGCUCGGCAUCGAGCAGAGGGAAAAGGAGUGAUCCGCUUUGAGAUGGCCUCGCGUCCGAUUAGCUAGUUGGUGAGGUAAUGGCCCACCAAGGCGACGAUCGGCAGCCGGACUGAGAGGUUGAACGGCCACAUUGGGACUGAGACACGGCCCAG